rnacentral:rRNA from 1 species
GACGAACGCUGGCGGCGUGCUUAACACAUGCAAGUCGAACGGUAAGGCCCUUCGGGGUACACGAGUGGCGAACGGGUGAGUAACACGUGGGUGAUCUGCCCUGCACUUCGGGAUAAGCCUGGGAAACUGGGUCUAAUACCGGAUAGGACCACUGCCUGCAUGGGUGGUGGUGGAAAGCUUUUGCGGUGUGGGAUGGGCCCGCGGCCUAUCAGCUUGUUGGUGGGGUGAUGGCCUACCAAGGCAACGACGGGUAGCCGGCCUGAGAGGAUGACCGGCCACACUGGGACUGAGAUACGGCCCAGACUCCUACGGGAGGCAGCAGUGGGGAAUAUUGCACAAUGGGCGCAAGCCUGAUGCAGCGACGCCGCGUGAGGGAUGACGGCCUUCGGGUUGUAAACCUCUUUCAGCACCGACGAAGCGCAAGUGACGGUAGGUGCAGAAGAAGGACCGGCCAACUACGUGCCAGCAGCCGCAGUAA